GUCUAUAGCCAUACUAUUCUGAAUGCACAUGAUCUGGUCUGUUCACAGAAGCUAAGCAGAAUCACAUCUGUAUAGAACUUAGAUGGGAGACUACCUUGAAAUACUAGAUGCUGUAGGCU
rnacentral:rRNA from 1 species